rnacentral:misc_RNA from 1 species
AGAAGCAGAUGCUCCUGUCUGCAGCCAAAAAGCAAAUUUACAUCACAUCAUUCCAAACAUUAAACUGACGUUUAAUACAAUGUACACUACCACACUUCAAACCAGUCAUUUUUUGAACAAACAAUUACUGCCAAAGAAUUACAGAAAGUGCAAUUUGACGUCUUCAGAUAAAGAUUUUGCCCAAGACAGUUAAACUGUAAUGAAAUUUCUGGUUUUAGUCUAUAGUACGUAAAUAGAAAUUCAUAAAUAGAUUAACUGGGAUGAGCACCAAUAGAAUCAAAACAUAUUCUUAAUAUAUUAACUCUCUAUCACAAAUUAGCAGCAGUCCAUUAGACACCAAAUAUGCCACUCCCUAAAUUAGAUAAUACAACAAACAUCCUCGCACUCCCUAAAUUAGAUAAUAAAACAAACAUCCUCAAUAGUUUCUUUAUCCUAAUUGUGCUAUGAGCUUUCUGAGGAUAUUUGAGAACAAAUGAUUAAUCCCUGAGAUGUACAGUCCAUAAAAUUUCAAGUCAUACAGUACAACCUGUAAUCCUAAACCAAUAUCAUGCCAAGCCACCAACCUAUGGAAUUUUCUAUUUUUUUAUGCAUUUGGCCAAUGCCUCUGGAGAUUCUAACGACCAGAACAGGAAUAAGGAUGAAAUUGAUUCCAUCAAACAACCAAGGCAAUUAAGUAACCCUUCCUGGGAGGGUGGAAAGGUUCCCAGAUUGAUAAGGAAAAUUCCAUUGCAAAACAUUUGAAAGGCAUCAUUCAGCAUAAUUCAUGGUACAGCAGGCAAGAUAA